CCUACGGGAGGCAGCAGUGGGGAAUAUUGGACAAUGGGCGAAAGCCUGAUCCAGCAACGCCGCGUGAGGGAUGACGGCCUUCGGGUUGUAAACCUCUUUCAGCGCAGACGCGGUAUGCGCAGAAGAAGCACCGGCCAACUACGUGCCAGCAGCCGCGGUAAUACGUAGGGUGCGAGCGUUGUCCGGAAUUAUUGGGCGUAAAGGGCUCGUAGGCGGUUUGUCACGUCAGGAGUGAAAACUCGGGGCUCAACCCCGAGCCUGCUUCUGAUACGGGCAGACUGGAGGUAUGCAGGGGAGAACGGAAUUCCUGGUGUAGCGGUGAAAUGCGCAGAUAUCAGGAGGAACACCGGUGGCGAAGGCGGUUCUCUGGGCAUUCCUGACGCUGAGGAGCGAAAGUGUGGGGAGCGAACAGGAUUAGAUACCCUUGUAGUC
rnacentral:rRNA from 1 species